rnacentral:lncRNA from 1 species
CGGCCGCCGCCGCCGCCGCCGGCCUACCCGUACGUGCCGCCGCCGCAGUACUACUACGUCCGCAACAUGAGCAUGGAGGAGAACCCCAACUCGUGCGCCAUUUGCUGAUCGAAAAAAAAAAACGCCAUGGCAAAUGAGCACCAUGAAUGCUUUGCAUCUCAAUGCAUGAUCUGUGUGCACUUCUGCAGCAGGUAGGCGACGCGUGCGUGCGUACACGCUUGUGUUCUUGAUCGAUCGGCCGUGAUGUGUAUAGUAUAAGAUCUCAGUGUUUAUGAUGAGAAGAACAAAUUAAGUUUGCGUGAUCGAACCAGU